GAUGAAGAACGUAGCGAAAUGCGAUAAGUAAUGUGAAUUGCAGAAUUCAGUGAAUCAUCGAAUCUUUGAACGCACCUUGCGCCCUUUGGCUAUUCCGAAGGGCAUGCCUGUUUGAGUAUCAUGAACACCUCAACUCUCAUGGCUUGCCAUGAUGAGCUUGGACUUUUGGGGGUCUUGCUGGCCUGUGGUCAGCUCCUCUCAAAUGAAUUAGCCUGCCAGUGUUUGGUGGCAUCACAGGUGUGAUAACUAUCUACGCUUGUGGUUUUCCACCAGGUAACCUUCAGUGAUGAAGGUUCGCUGGGGCUCAUAAACGUCUCUCCUCAGUGAGGACAGCUCUUUGAACGUUUGAUCUCAAAUCAGGUAGGACUACCCGCUGAACUUAAGCAUAUCAAUAAGCGAGGA
rnacentral:misc_RNA from 1 species